rnacentral:rRNA from 1 species
UUGACCUCGGAUCAGGUAGGAAUACCCGCUGAACUUAAGCAUAUCAAACGGGGGGGGGGGAAUAGCCUGACAAAAGCGAAAAAAUUAAUUUACUACCG